GGACCCGCACAAGCGGUGGAGCAUGUGGUUUAAUUCGAUGCAACGCGAAAAACCUUACCUACACUUGACAUACUUGGAAUCUUUUGUAAUGAAAGAGUGCCUUUUGGAGCCAAGAUACAGGUGCUGCAUGGCUGUCGUCAGCUCGUGUCGUGAGAUGUUGGGUUAAGUCCCAUAACGAGCGCAACCCUUACCCUUAUUUGCCAGCGAUUCGGUCGGGAACUAUAAGGGGACUGCCGGUGAUAAACCGGAGGAAGGUGAGGACGACGUCAAGUCAUCAUGGCCCUUACGUGUAGGGCUACACACGUGCUACAAUGGGGAGUACAGAUGGACGCUAAAGCGCAAGCUGGUGCUAAUCCCAAAAACUCUCGUAGUCCGGAUUGCAGUCUGCAACUCGACUGCAUGAAGUCGGAAUCGCUAGUAA
rnacentral:rRNA from 1 species